GACAGAGGGUGCAAACGUUGUUCGGAAUCACUGGGCAUAAAGCGCACGUAGGCGGUCCGUUAAGUCAGGUGUGAAAGCCCCCGGCUCAACCGGGGAAUUGCACCUGAUACUGGCGGGCUCGAGGAUGGCAGGGGUGAGCGGAACUCCAGGUGGAGCGGUGAAAUGCGUAGAUAUCUGGAGGAACACCGGUGGCGAAAGCGGCUCACUGGACCAUAUCUGACGCUGAGGUGCGAAAGCUAGGGUAGCAAACGGG
rnacentral:rRNA from 1 species